CCCUUAGAUGUUCUGGGCCGCACGCGCGCUACACUGAUGCAUUCAACGAGUUUCUUCCUGGUCCGAGAGGAAUGGGUAACCUUUUGAAAGUGCAUCGUGAUAGGGAUAGACUAUUGCAAUUAUUGGUCUUCAACGAGGAAUUCCUAGUAGACGUAGUUCAUCAGACUGCAUCGAUUACGUCCCUGCCCUUUGUACACACCGCCCGUCGCUCCUACCGAUUGAAUGGUCCGGUGAAGCCUCGGGAUUGUGGUUAGUUUCCUUCAUUGGAAGUUAGCCGCGAGAACUUGUCUAAACCUUAUCAUUUAGAGGAAGGUGAAGUCGUAACA
rnacentral:rRNA from 1 species